rnacentral:rRNA from 1 species
GUCCACGCCCUAAACGAUGUCAACUGGGUGUUCGGGAAGCGAUUCCUGGGUACCGUAGCUAACGCGUGAAGUUGACCGCCUGGGGAGUACGGCCGCAAGGUUAAAACUCAAAGGAAUUGACGGGGACCCGCACAAGUGGUGGAUGAUGUGGAUUAAUUCGAUGCAACGCGAACAACCUUACCUACCCUUGACAUGUCCGAGAGCCCGCUGAGAGGUGGGUGUGCCCGAAAGGGAAUCGGAACACAGGUGCUGCAUGGCUGUCGU